AGACGAGGGAUCCUAGCGUUGUUCGGAAUCAUUGGGCGUAAAGCGGAUGUAGGUGGCUUUGUAAGUCAGGUGUGAAAGCCCCGGGCUCAACCCGGGAAGUGCAUUUGAUACUGCGAAGCUUGAGUGCUGGAGAGGUUACUAGAAUACCUGGUGUAGUGGUGAAAUACGUAGAUAUCAGGUGGAAUACCGGAGGCGAAGGCGGGUAACUAGCCAGACACUGACACUCAGAUCCGAAAGUGUGGGGAUCAAACAGGAUUAGAUACCCCGGUAGUCCACACCGUAAACGAUGGAUACUUGUUGUUGGAGGUAUUGACCCCUUCAGUGACGCAGUUAACACGGUAAGUAUCCCGCCUGGGGAGUACGGUCGCAAGAUUAAAACUCAAAUGAAUUGACGGGG
rnacentral:rRNA from 1 species